rnacentral:rRNA from 1 species
GCGUAAAGGGCUCGCAGGCGGUUUCUUAAGUCUGAUGUGAAAGCCCCCGGCUCAACCGGGGAGGGUCAUUGGAAACUGGGAAACUUGAGUGCAGAAGAGGAGAGUGGAAUUCCACGUGUAGCGGUGAAAUGCGUAGAGAUGUGGAGGAACACCAGUGGCGAAGGCGACUCUCUGGUCUGUAACUGACGCUGAGGAGCGAAAGCGUGGGGAGCGAACAGGAUUAGAUACCCUGGUAGUCCACGCCGUAAACGAUGAGUGCUAAGUGUUAGGGGGUUUCCGCCCCUUAGUGCUGCAGCUAACGCAUUAAGCACUCCGCCUGGGGAGUACGGUCGCAAGACUGAAACUCAAAGGAAUUGACGGGGGCCCGCACAAGCGGUGGAGCAUGUGGUUUAAUUCGAAGCAACGCGAAGAACCUUACCAGGUCUUGACAUCCUCUGACAACCCUAGAGAUAGGGCUUUCCCUUCGGGGACAGAGUGACAGGUGGUGCAUGGUUGUCGUCAGCUCGUGUCGUGAGAUGUUGGGUUAAGUCCCGCAACGAGCGCAACCCUUGAUCUUAGUUGCCAGCAUUCAGUUGGGCACUCUAAGGUGACUGCCGGUGACAAACCGGAGGAAGGUGGGGAUGACGUCAAAUCAUCAUGCCCCUUAUGACCUGGGCUACACACGUGCUACAAUGGACAGAA